UACGGAGGAUGCGAGCGUUAUCCGGAUUUAUUGGGUUUAAAGGGUGCGCAGGCGGCACGGCAAGCCGGCGGUCAAAUCGCGGGGCUCAACCCCGCCCAGCCGUCGGAACUGCCGGGCUAGAGUGGGCGAGAAGUGCGCGGAAUGCGUGGUGUAGCGGUGAAAUGCAUAGAUAUCACGCAGAACUCCGAUUGCGAAGGCAGCCUUCCGGCGCCCUACUGACGCUGAGGCACGAAAGUGCGGGGAUCGAACAGG
rnacentral:rRNA from 1 species